CAAGUCUGAUGACACCUCAGUAAAGCUGCAGACUCUGCAUUAUGCAGUGAGCAAGCCGAUACUGGAGAGCAGAGCACUG
ensembl:snoRNA SNORD39 Small nucleolar RNA SNORD55/SNORD39